rnacentral:rRNA from 1 species
AUUGAACGCUGGCGGCAGGCCUAACACAUGCAAGUCGAGCGGUAGAGAGGUGCUUGCAUCUCUUGAGAGCGGCGGACGGGUGAGUAAUGCCUAGGAAUCUGCCUAGUGGUGGGGGAUAACGUUCGGAAACGGACGCUAAUACCGCAUACGUCCUACGGGAGAAAGCGGGGGAUCUUCGGACCUCGCGCCAUUAGAUGAGCCUAGGUCGGAUUAGCUAGUUGGUGAGGUAAUGGCUCACCAAGGCGACGAUCCGUAACUGGUCUGAGAGGAUGAUCAGUCACACUGGAACUGAGACACGGUCCAGACUCCUACGGGAGGCAGCAGUGGGAAUAUUGGACAAUAGGGCGGAAGACCUGAUCCAGCCAUGCCGCGUGUGUGAAGAAGGU